rnacentral:rRNA from 1 species
AACGAACGCUGGCGGCAGGCCUAACACAUGCAAGUCGAGCGAACCCUUCGGGGUUAGCGGCGGACGGGUUAGUAACGCGUGGGAAUAUACCCUUUGGUACGGAAUAGCCUCGGGAAACUGAGAGUAAUACCGUAUGUGCCCUUCGGGGAAGAUUAUCGCCAAAGGAUUAGCCCGCGUUGGAUUAGAUAGUUGGUGGGGUAAUGGCCUACCAAGUCUACGAUCCAUAGCUGGUUUGAGAGGAUGAUCAGCAACACUGGGACUGAGACACGGCCCAGACUCCUACGGGAGGCAGCAGUGGGGGAAUCUUAGACAAUGGGCGCAAGCCUGAUCUAGCCAUGCUGCGUGGACGAUGAAGGCCUUAGGGUUGUAAAGUCCUUUCAGAUGGGAAGAUAAUGACGGUACCAUCAGAAGAAGACCCCGGCUAACUCCGUG